rnacentral:rRNA from 1 species
GCGCGAAAACUUUACAAUGCUGGCAAUAGCGAUAAGGGAACCUCGAGUGCCAGGUUACAAAUCUGGCUGUCGAGAUGCCUAAAAAGCAUUUCAUAGCAAGGGCCGGGCAAGACCGGUGCCAGCCGCCGCGGUAACACCGGCGGCUCGAGUGGUAACCGUUAUUAUUGGGUCUAAAGGGUCUGUAGCCGGCCGGAUAAGUCUCUUGAGAAAUCUGGCAGCUUAACUGUCAGACUUUCAGGAGAUACUGUCUGGCUCGAGGCCGGGAGAGGUGAGAGGUACUUCAGGGGUAGGGGUGAAAUCUUGUAAUCCUUGAAGGACCACCAGUGGCGAAGGCGUCUCACCAGAACGGACCUGACGGCAAGGGACGAAAGCUAGGGGCACGAACCG